CGUCGAGGGUGAAGUCUGUCAGGUUGUGUGGGUCUGUGUUAGAGGGUGAAGUCUGUCAGGUUGUGAGGGUCUGUGUUAGAGGGUGAAGUCUGUCAGGUUGUGGUGUGGGUCUGUGUGGGGGGAAGUCUGUCAGGUUGUGUGGGUCUGUGUUAGAGGGUGAAGUCUGUCAGGUUGUGGGGUCUGUGUUGGAGGGUGAAGUCUGUCAGGUUGUGGUGGGUCUGUGUUGGAGGGUGAAGUCUGUCAGGUUUUGUGAGGGUCUGUGUUAGGGGUGAAGUCUGUCAGGUUGUGAGGGUCUGUGUUGAGGGUGAAGUCUGUCAGGGUGGUGUGGGUCUGUGUUGGAGGGUGAAGUCUGUCAGGUUGUUGAGGGACUGUGUUGGAGGGUGAAGUGGUUGGCAGGCUGCUCUGCUCAGCUCUGUCUCAGUGAUUCAGGAAGUAAACCGAUCAAUCACGUUCCCGUAUCUAAUCCUUCCUCCCUGUCUGGCCAACACAGUCUAGAGAAACUCUCCACGUAUCUAAUCUUCCUCUCUGCCUGGCCAACACAGUCUAGAGAAACUCUCCACGUAUCUAAUCCUUCCUCUCUGCCUGGCCAACACAGUCUAGAGAAACUCUCCACGUAUCUAAUCCUUCCUCUCUGCCUGGCCAACACAGUCUGAGAAACUCUCCACGUAUCUAAUCCUUCCUCCCGCCUGGCCAACACAUCUUGACCACGUGUCUAGCACUGCCCUUGCCGACUAGCUUCUGAUGUUUGUGUUAAAAUUCAUUGACUGCACUGGUAUACAUCAGUCACCGGUCUGUAACAGGCCCAUUGAACUUUUAUCCAGAAUCUAUGACAAUAAGAAAGUCAGUCAGUGUAGCCUGGUCCCAGAUCUGUUGGAAAAUGGAAAUUACCAUUCAUAGGAGUUGCCAAGACAGCACAAACAGAUCUGAGACCAGACUACAGUGUAUUGUUAUUUAUUAAGGAUUCCCAUUAGUUCCUGCCAAGGCAGCAGCUACUCUUCCUGGGGUUAUUAUGGAUCCCAUUAGUUCCUGCCAAGGCAGCAGCUACUCUUCCUGGUGUUUAUUAGGAUCCCCAUUAGUUCCUGCCAAGGCAGCAGCUACUCUUCCUGGGGUU
rnacentral:lncRNA from 1 species